CUAACCCUGGUCAACACGGGCUGACAGAUCAACUAUGGUUGACGUCUAGAGAUGAGAAGAGUGAGUGAGUGACAAUCAGCGUGUAACGCGGUCGGGCACGCGAGUGGUGGCGGCAAUAAAUAUGAUUAUUAGCCGCCAGUGAUUUGUUUUAUUUUCAAUCCGGGGUAUUUACCUGGCUCAGUGACUACAUUGGCGACGAGGAGAAAACAUAUUUUGUUUCAUUAGCAACAGGUCACAGGAGGAGAGGUUUUGCCAGCACACGUAGUUCGUUCGGAGAGGUCUUACUGCGUUAGGCCGAAUUCCGCGUGAACAACACACAGAGGAGAAGGAUGAACCACGAGCUAGUGCAGCUCAACGGCAAACCGGGUUUUCAGAGAGUCACCUGGGAUUACCGGAUCCUUUGGGUAGUGCGCAUGGCAAGAGAGCCAGGCGGGCGGGGUGCCGACCUGGACGGAGUGUGUGCGGCCCGGAGCCGAGUUGGCUGGCGGCUCACCUGGAUACUGCUGAUGAACUAAGGGAUGUCCUUAAGAUUUGAAGGAGGAUGGUUGCAAGAUAGGGUUCUGUUUGGGGGUGCGAAGUUGUCUUCGUAUUCCAGAAUGUCAGGUUGACGGACCCAAUUCCGUUAUAAUUAGAUUGUACAAAUAGUUAGGAGUUGUGGUAAGUAAUUUUGGAGACGCUGCUUUAUGGGGUUGAUUAAAUGCUGGGGAAUGUGUGAAGGAGUAUUGAUGCAGGGGGCUCUGAUUGAUAGGCACCGUGAAAUUGUUAAUAAUCGGUAACUCCAUAAGACAAUAAAUGAGAAAUAAUUUAUAUUCAA